GGUUGAUCAUCAGGCUGCCACAUAAAACAAAUAAAUCAAAUAUAUGCACAUAAAAUGUAAAUUUAUUCAAAUAUUUUCUCAUGAAACUUUUUAUUUUUGGUUGAUUUGGCUCCAACUGGGGUUUGAACUUAUGACCUCUUGGAGAUGACUCUAGAAUUGGUUAAAACAUAAAUUUAGGCUGACUCAUUUGCAUUUAUAAAAAUGAAAAUCCCUGCAGUAGCCCACAUAUCAU
rnacentral:misc_RNA from 1 species